UACGUAGGGUGCAAGCGUUGUCCGGAAUUAUUGGGCGUAAAGAGCUCGUAGGCGGUCUGUCGCGUCGGCUGUGAAAACCCGGAGCUCAACUCCGGGCCUGCAGUCGAUACGGGCAGACUGGAGUUCGGCAGGGGAGACUGGAAUUCCUGGUGUAGCGGUGAAAUGCGCAGAGUAUCAGGAGGAACACCGGUGGCGAAGGCGGGGUCUCU
rnacentral:rRNA from 1 species